GGAGGCGUAUCCGGUCUGGUGACCGGCUCGGUCUUCAAAACCGUCGAGCGGCGGGAUCUGUCGCUGGCGGGUUCGAUUCCCGUCCGCCUCCGCCA
rnacentral:tRNA from 1 species